UACGUAGGGGGCUAGCGUUAUCCGGAUUUACUGGGCGUAAAGGGUGCGUAGGUGGUCUCUUAAGUCAGGAGUGAAAGGCUACGGCUUAACCGUAGUAAGCUCUUGAAACUGGGAGACUUGAGUGCAGGAGAGGAAAGUGGAAUUCCUAGUGUAGCGGUGAAAUGCGUAGAUAUUAGGAGGAACACCAGUAGCGAAGGCGGCUUUCUGGACUGUAACUGACACUGAGGCACGAAAGCGUGGGGAGCAAACAGG
rnacentral:rRNA from 1 species